UUUUUUUUUAAACAGAGUCUCACUCGGUCGCCCAGGCUGGAGUGCAGUGGCGCAAUCUCGGCUCACUGCAAACUCCACUUCCCGGGUUCACGCCAUUCUCCUGCCUCAGCCUCCCAAGUAGCUGGGACUACAGUUGCCUGCCACCACGCCUGGCUAAUUUUGUUUUUGUAUUUUUUGUAGAGACGGGCUUUCACGGUGUUAGCCAGGAUGGUCUCAAUCUCCUGACCUGGUGAUCCACCCGCCCUGGCCUCCCAAAAUGCUGGGAUUACAGGCGUGAGCCACCACGCCCGGCCUUGGCCCUGUUUCUUAAUGGGCUCUGCCCUGAGUCCAUUGGUCCAGUUGGAAAACAGACUAAACCGAAAGCUACCUAUACAAAUGACAUUGGCCUCCCUAUAAAAUCCUAUGAGGUGGGGUCUCACUGUGUUGCCCAAGCUGGUCUCAAACUCCGGACCUCAAGUGAUCCUCCUGCCCUGGCCUCUCAAAGUGCUCGUUGGAGAAGACUUGGACCUUCUCUCUCCAGGGGCUCCUGGUUAGAUAAAAAUAGGUUCCUCUUGUGCCAAACAUGAUUUCCCUCCGUCUGUUUCCUUCCCGCUUUUCACAUUUCUUGGGUCGUCUUCUCUCAUCUUCACAUCUUGGCCUGCUGCCCUCACUGUGCCGUUGCCCCUGCUCGUCCUCUUAAGCCAGUACCCUCCUUCAUUCUGCCUCUGUAACCACGUCAAAUCUCCCAUAGCUUUCCUAUAACUCUUACUACACACCUCUCUAGCAAGCCUCUUUCUAACUUCCCCCCACUUUCAAAAGUAUUAAUGUUCAUUGUAAAAAUAUGAAGGAGGAAAAUAAAUCAUCCAAAAUCGAUAUGGUUCCUCUGUCCUGUUUCAUCUCCAGCCAGCCUCUGCUCACCCUGAAAGGUUCAGCUCACUAGUUCUUUCCCUGAGAUUUUAUGCUUCCUCUGUAUCCUACAGUCCUGCGUUCUGUCUUCAUGGCAUCUUGCUCACUAGAGUGUAAGCUUUCAAGAGACCGGAGAGGUCUGCUCUGCUCUGCUCAUUGCUGUAUACCCGACAUCCCACAUCCCACACAGAUGCUGUAGGAGCUCAAGUAGCUCUCACAUUGAUGAAUCGGUGGUUGAUGUUUACACAGUGUUUUCUGAAUUUCCUCGGCAUUCUAUAGCUUCUGCUAUUCUAUCCUUCGUCGUUCCAGGAGGGUAGGGACUACUUCCUGUCCUUGCAAGGCUUUAUGAAGCCACCUACAGUCUGUAAAGGACUACCGAAGAGGAGGCGUGGUAUUAUGAAUACCGUGACACCAAGAAGGUCUAGGUCUGUUUUCUCUGCAGUAUGGAAUUAAGGAGUUCGACUCAAGGGUUCUCAGACUGCCCUUUAGAGCUACAGGGAGACUUAGGAUCCCUUGCCAGGGUUGCCUAAUUGAAAUGUCAUUUUGGAGCUUGACUAGAUAUUUGUAAGCUUUCAAACCUGAGACUUUGAAACAUAUCAAGAACCUACCCUCAGGUAGGCUUAAAUUCUGGCAAGAACUGAUUUUUUUUUUUCAGCUUCUUUGUUCCGAGUAAGCUCUAAUACAUGUUUGCUGUAUGAAUAUCUACUAUAGGUAAGGCGCUGAUAGGGCAUGCUCUGGUCUAAGACAAAGCCCUUAUUUUUGGGUUGCUCUGUCCAACGUACCGAAUUGAAUACAGGUCGCCACCGGCACAUGUGGAUGAGCAUGGCCAGUCUGAAUGGAAAUAUGCAGAAGCUAUAAAAGACACACCGACUUUUAAAGACUUAGUGCUGAACAUGAAUGUAAGCGAUCUCAUUUUUAUGUUAAUUACAUGUUGAAGUGAUA
rnacentral:lncRNA from 1 species